ACCCCCGCCUCGCGACCCGCAGCCGCCGCCAGGGCCCUCUGCUGCCGCGGAGGUGCUAGGACAGCCGCGGACGGCCUGCCUCCCCGUGCCCUGGGCCUCGAGGCCAAUAAAAAGCUCGCCCCCUCCAGCUCACCGGGUCCGACGGGUACAGUACAAAGUGCUGUCUCUCGCCACAGCCGCCCUUGUGACAAUAAAAGCAAUAAGGCAAAUGUCCAUGGGGCGCUCACGUUUAUGCAUGAACAAAGAAAGCUGAGAUACGGAGACGGGUGAUCCGUCGAGGUAAUAAACGGCACAGGUGGGGUUUGAGCUCCAUCAGUUUGAUUGCAGAGGCCUGGAACAACCCUACAGGCUUCUCUCGGAUCUUUUCUGGACCUUUUUCUGUACGCUUUGCACCUAGGACGUGAGGCUGCCAAGCUCGGUAUUCAAUAAAUAUUGAUGGAUGAAGGAACAAUGGAAGAAAGGAGUGUAUGGGUAAACAAAUGACAAAUAUGUCAAAGCACGGACGCAGAUUCUUAGAAUGGGCUAAUGCUGUUUUCUGCUGGAUUUUUGGAUGUGAGCAAGCGAGUUCUCUCACAAUACAGAUCCACAGUGUCUGGGUCAGAGGAGAACUGAUGCUGGGCAUGGCAUUUCACCAUCUUGCCUGCCUGCCUGGGGCCCUGGGCCUACAGGCUUUGAGGACAGUGUAUGGCGAGGCUGCAACCUUCUUGGGCUAAAGGUCUGCCUUUUAGUCUCUUAUCCUACUUUUUAGAAGCCCUUUAAGGUCUUUGUAAAAGGAAAUCUAAUGUGAAGAAUUCCAGGAAAACUGGAUAAGCCUGACUAUGGGUGGGCGUGACUGAAUUACUUCCCGGGCUGGCUAAGGAAGGGCUCCCCCGAAGUGCAUCGGAAGCCUGCAGCUUCUCCUUAUGGCCACUGGAGGGCACUUGGACCAUGAAAUACGAGAUCGUCUCAGCGUCCCAGGUCUUUGGAGAUGGUGUGAUUCAAUUCAACAAACGUUUCGAAAUCAUCACCAUAAUGAUAGCGCUUUUGUAUUGAAUAUCCAAUAUGGUGCUAAACACCUUAUAUAUAUGUGUGCGUGUAUAUAUGAACUUGCUUAAUAUUUACUACCAUUGCUGUGAGUUACUUAGGCUAUUUAGGAAAAAAAAUCAAGGCUUAAAGAAGUCAAAGUACUUACCCAAGAUUGCUUAGCUAAAUAAAAUUUGGGAGUAAGGACUUGAACUCAAGCCCUUGGGCACCAACCAUAAGUAAUAGGUGCACACAAAGCUGAAAUGAGGACUCUCUUAUAAGCAGAAAGACGCACACACCACACAAAUAUUAUUGUUCCUGAACAAUUUACACAUUCUGAAAUUGGAAGAUGACUUACAAUUUGUACAUUACAUGGUAAUGUUUCUUUUUUCCCUUGAAAUGAUGUUAUUAAAUAAAUGAAGUGUCUCACAA